CUUAAAAUACGUUAUGUAGGACAUAAACUAAACAAUAACAUAUCUUUCUUAGUAUAUACAAUCCGAAAAGAAAAACAAACAAUCAGAUAAUGACUAAAACCUCAGGAUAUGAGCGUGGAAGGGUGUUGGGUGGUUGUUGUGGUGCGCUGUCGCUGAGGUGAUACCUGGGAAACAGGCAGCUGGUGUCUUUCUUGUAUCCUGGGCCGUACACAAACAACGCUCGUUGCCGUGGGCGUGUACCGGCACUCGAUGAUUGACGCACUUCCACUCCACCCUCCUUCCGCCGUCUCUGAAAGCUGUUAGGCGAAUCCCACAGGUCUCCAUUCAUUACAAGUUUUAGACCAGUGAAUCUCAGACCUGGUUUUCAAACAAUGACAGGUAGCCAUCCAGACUCCAUCAAAUCAAUCUUAACAGCAGCCCGUCCAGCGAUCUAUUCAGAUAUAUCAAGAAUCUAUGAGACACACUGUAAUUAUCUGUUAAUUUUAAACCUUAUGAUGCUCGACUGCU
ensembl:lncRNA